AAAGAAAGUGAUUUAUUUUGAGACUCAAAUCAUGUUUUGUAGUAAAUUUUUAAUAUUCCAUGUCUCAUUUAGGAUAGUAGAAUGCAUUAACUUACAAAGAAAAGGUUUGGGUAGAUAAUCAUAGCUGGAGUUCUAUCAUUAAGGUUUGCUUUAUACAUUUAUUAAAUCACUGAUUAUAUAUAUAUAUAUAUAUAACUCGUCUAAACAUCAACCCAACAAUGUUAGAUCUGUAAAUUUGCUUUCGCAAAUUUUUGGUUCUUCCCUCGCCGGGAUUCGAACCCAUGCUACUGUGAUAUCGUGACACCAAAUCGCAUGCACUGCAGCUGUCCCGCU
rnacentral:lncRNA from 1 species